AGCGAACGCUGGCGGCAGGCCUAACACAUGCAGGUCGAACGAACUCUUCGGAGUUAGUGGCGGACGGGUGAGUAACACGUGGGAACGUGCCUUUAGGUUCGGAAUAACUCAGGGAAACUUGUGCUAAUACCGAAUGUGCCCUUCGGGGGAAAGAUUUAUCGCCUUUAGAGCGGCCCGCGUCUGAUUAGCUAGUUGGUGAGGUAAAGGCUCACCAAGGCGACGAUCAGUAGCUGGUCUGAGAGGAUGAUCAGCCACAUUGGGACUGAGACACGGCCCAAACUCCUACGGGAAGCAGCAGUGGGGAAUCUUGCGCAACGGGCGAAAGCCUGACGCAGCCAUGCCGCGUGAAUGAUGAAGGUCUUAGGAUUGUAAAAUUCUUUCACCGGGGACGAUAAUGACGGUACCCGGAGAAGAAGCCCCGGCUAACUUCGUG
rnacentral:rRNA from 1 species